CUGCAAGAUCAAAUCCAAAUCCAGAGAGAGCGUUAUCAUACCAUAGGAGGUAGUUUGGGCAACAUCUAAACGUGAAAGGAUCAUCCCAUCUGGUAUUGUUGAUGAAGAUGAUUAUGAAGUAGUUUCAUGUGGUGGUCUGGACUCGGACAAGCAGAAAUAGAAGACUUGUGUCAGCCCCUCUUCACAUUUAGCUCUAUGGUGAUGUUGGUUUAUGAUCAGAAGAGCCUACAGGUAUCAGAUCCCAAUGCUUACAGGACUAUAACAUUUCAUGUGAUGCAAAGGAAGGAGUCCAUCUUGAAUGACAGGAAGGCUAGGUGAUAAAGUGGGUAGUUAUAUCACUGGAAAUUGCUGAUUUAAGAAGAAACAUCUUCUUCCAGAUGACCCCUUCCCCUUACUGAGCAGUUCAUCUCCAAGCGAAAGACUGACAACAGAAGCGCACGAGCCAAAUAGAGUCAUCCCAGCUCAGUUCAUCUGACAAGAAAACGUCUGGUAAUAUGAGGACCGGUACCAAGCUAGCUCCAAAGACUGACAAAAGACAAGCAAAUCAACCAAUAUGACAAGAAAGAAAGGAGAAAACAAGAAGGUGGGUAAGAACAUCACACCAAAUUUUGAAAUAAUGAAACAAAGCAAUGAUACAAUAAAGACACAUUUUAUCCCAGCUCAUUCCAGCUCAGCUCAUCUGACAAGAACAUGUUAUGGCAAUACGAUGACUGGCAUAGGCGCUGGAAGCGGGAGGGCAA